UAACCCCGGGAGCCCCCCGAAAAUAUCAAAUUUGGGGUUUUCCCCCCAAGCAAAUUCCCAUACCCCCCUUUGGGAACCGUCCAAUUAUUCAAUCCAAGAAUUUAGGGGUACCCCCACGGGGGGACCUUGGGGAAUUUGUACCGCGCGAACCUCCCAGGUUUUCAUCCGGUUGCCACGUAAAAAAGGUUUCCCAAUCGGGCACGACAGAGGACAUGGGUGCAGGUUCGUCGUAGAGUGGUUAAGUCCCGCAAUCAUGCACCUUGAUGUUAGUGCCAUCAAAGUUGGCCCAUUGGGAUCCGGUACAACCUGAGUAAGUUGGGAUCAGGUAAAUUCAGCCCGUAUAUCAUGUCUGCCGGUGUACAAUGGCGAUACUGGCGGUGCCACCUCGCGAGAGGGAUAAUCCGAUAAAGUCGUUCCUCAGUUCGGAUUGUAGGCUGCUCUUCGCAUACAUGAACCGAAUCGCUAGUAAUUGCGGAUCAGCAUGCCGGGUGAAUAAGUUCUCGGGCCUUGUAGCUCCGCCCGUCACGCCCGAAGUUUGAACACCCGAAGUCGGUGAGGAACCUCUGAUCACACAGUAU
rnacentral:rRNA from 1 species